UGAGUAACACGUGGGUGAUCUGCCCUGCACUUUGGGAUAAGCCUGGGAAACUGGGUCUAAUACCGAAUACACCCUGCUGGUCGCAUGGCCUGGUGGGGGAAAGCUUUUGCGGUGUGGGAUGGGCCCGCGGCCUAUCAGCUUGUUGGUGGGGUGAUGGCCUACCAAGGCGACGACGGGUAGCCGGCCUGAGAGGGUGUCCGGCCACACUGGGACUGAGAUACGGCCCAGACUCCUACGGGAGGCAGCAGUGGGGAAUAUUGCACAAUGGGCGCAAGCCUGAUGCAGCGACGCCGCGUGGGGGAUGACGGCCUUCGGGUUGUAAACCCCUUUCAGUAUCGACGAAGCCGUGAGGUGACGGUAGGUACAGAAGAAGCACCGGCCAACUACGUGCCAGCAGCCGCGGUAAUACGUAGGGUGCGAGCGUUGUCCGGAAUUACUGGGCGUAAAGAGCUCGUAGGUGGUUUGUCGCGUUGUUCGUGAAAACUCACAGCUUAACUGUGGGCGUGCGGGCGAUACGGGCAGACUGGAGUACUGCAGGGGAGACUGGAAUUCCUGGUGUAGCGGUGGAAUGCGCAGAUAUCAGGAGGAACACCGGUGGCGAAGGCGGGUCUCUGGGCAGUAACUGACGCUGAGGAGCGAAAGCGUGGGGAGCGAACAGGAUUAGAUACCCUGGUAGUCCACGCCGUAAACGGUGGGUACUAGGUGUGGGUUUCCUUCCUUGGGAUCCGUGCCGUAGCUAACGCAUUAAGUACCCCGCCUGGGGAGUACGGCCGCAAGGCUAAAACUCAAAGGAAUUGACGGGGGCCCGCACAA
rnacentral:rRNA from 1 species